rnacentral:rRNA from 1 species
CACGUAGGGCGCAAGCGUUGUCCGGAAUUAUUGGGCGUAAAGAGCUCGUAGGCGGUCUGUUGCGUCCGCUGUGAAAACUCAGGGCUUAACCCCGAGCCUGCAGUGGAUACGGGCAGACUAGAGGUAGGUAGGGGAGAAUGGAAUUCCCGGUGUAGCGGUGAAAUGCGCAGAUAUCAGGAGGAACACCGGUGGCGAAGGCGGUUCUCUGGGCCUGUACUGACGCUGAGGAACGAAAGCGUGGGGAGCGAACAGG